rnacentral:ncRNA from 1 species
UAUAUUUGCCCUCAAUUCUGAGAAUCAGAGUUGCCUACAUAAAAAUUAUUUAAAUAAAUAUUGGAAUG